rnacentral:rRNA from 1 species
AUUGAACGCUGGCGGAAUGCUUUACACAUGCAAGUCGAACGGCAGCACGGACUUCGGUCUGGCGGCGAGUGGCGAACGGGUGAGUAAUGUAUCGGAACGUGCCCAGUCGUGGGGGAUAACGUAGUGAAAAUUACGCUAAUACCGCAUACGAUCUAUGGAUGAAAGCGGGGGAUCGCAAGACCUCGCGCGAUUGGAGCGGCCGAUAUCAGAUUAGGCAGUUGGUGGGGUAAAGGCCCACCAAGCCAACGAACUGUAGCUGGUCUGAGAGGACGACCAGCCACACUGGAACUGAGACACGGUCCAGACUCCUACGGGAGGCAGCAGUGGGGAAUUUUGGACAACGGACGCAAGUCUGAUCCAGCAAUGCCGCGUGCAGGACGAAGGCCUUCGGGUUGUAAACUGCUUUUGUACGGAACGAAACGGUGAGCUCUAAUACAGUUUGCUAAUGACGGUACCGUAAGAAUAAGCACCGGCUAACUACGUGCCAGCCGCCGCGGUAA